GCGGGAGUAACUCAGUGGUAGAGUGCGACCUUGCCAAGGUCGAAGUCGCGAGUUCAAAUCUCGUCUCCCGCUCCA
rnacentral:tRNA from 4 species